CUCCCGUUCACCCAUUUCCGAUAGUUUUAGAACUUCCGGUGCAUAUUGCUCUUUCCUGGAUCUAAAAACUCCCUAGUCCACCCAUUUGCCUACACACGUCCACACAUUUCACCUCGUCCCCAACCUCCUCCGGCGUCGUCAGAUCCGCCGGCGGGAGCCCCCUGCUACAGCGCCCCGACCCGGCUGCCCCUCCUCCUCGAAUCCUCCCCGCCGGGCCGCCCCUCCUCGACUCCUCCCCGCCCGGGCCGACCUCCAGUGCCGUGCAGCAGGACGCGCCCGGCAGCAGGACUCGACCGGCCGCCCGCCUGCCCGGCCCUCUCUUCCCUCCGCCCGGCAGCAGGAGGCACCCUCACGGCCGGCCCUCCCUUCUAUUUGCUGGUUACAACACUUCUGAAGUUAUUUCACUUGUUUACCAGAAAGAAAACAGAGUUAAACUGCUGAUUGUCAAGUUAAUGUUCAGUCAUGUUCCACCACUCAGUGGCGGAGCUUGAUGAAGAUUGUUCAGUCAUGCCCUUAUUUUGGAUGGGCCCUAGGCUGUCACACUCACCACCCUUACAGAGUUCUGAAGGGCUGAUGGGUUGAACUUUACCAUCACUAGCACUACCGGUAAGGUGCACAGGUUGGAUCUCAAGUUUUAGUUUUCUCUCUUUUUACUACUCCCUCCGUCCCAUAAUAUAAGAACGUUUUUUACACUAGUGUAGUGUUAAAAACGUUCUUAUAUUUUGGGACAGAGGGAGUAGUUCGGAAACUUUGCCUUCCUAAAUUGCAGGAAAGUCAUCAAUAUAAUGUAUCUACAAGGAAGGUGGUGCCUCCACUCAUCUUGUUGUCUCAUGCUGCUACAAGCUUGCCACCAUAAGACUUGUCAAGGUCCAAUGGGGACGUGCCACUCAAUACUAUGGAUGGGUCCUAGGCCGCCGCACCUUUUGCCAUGGCCCAGCCCAUGACAGGCAGCAGCAAAGGGUGCCUUUCCAGAGCAAGGUGGUUGAGAUGGGUGCCCAUGCGCCCAUCCAUCAGUCCCCUCAACAAUCUUCAUCAAGCUUGGGCGGCUGCACCAUUUGCCAUGGUGCAGCCCAUGACAGGCAGCAGCCAUAAAGGGCGCCUCUUCAGAGCAAGGUGCUUGAGAUGGGCGUCCAUGCGCCCAUCCAUCAUCACAACAGCUGCUGAGUACAUCCAUUCCAUCCAUGGUGUUUGCCCAUUCUUGGCAAAGGAAGAAGUGAUGCAACUCCAAUGGAGGUGGAGCAGCCCACAAUGUGCCCAUUCUUGGCAAAGGAAGAAGUGAUGCAACUCCAAUGGAGGUGGAGCAGCCCACAAUGUGCCCAUUGUUGGCAAAAGAAGGAAGAGAUGCAACUCCAAUGGAGGUGGAGGGGCCCACGAUGCUAUAUGUUGUAUAUUUUUUAUUUUUUAUUUAUUGAUGCCUGGUGGUGAUGUUUGGCCAUUCUUGGCAAAAGAACAAGAGAUGUAAUUAUUUAUACUCCAUUUAGAGGUAUAUAUAGAUGCUGCACGUGAACAGAGGCGGAGUUUGAGCAUAAUCCAAGACGGGGCCAUUAGCUGAAGGGAGGCAAAUUAAUAGGGAAGGAGGGGCUAAUCUCUAGUUUAAACACUAGUUAGGCCUAAAAUAGAG
rnacentral:rRNA from 1 species